rnacentral:rRNA from 1 species
UACGUAGGUGGCAAGCGUUAUCCGGAAUUAUUGGGCGUAAAGCGCGCGCAGGUGGUUUCUUAAGUCUGAUGUGAAAGCCCACGGCUCAACCGUGGAGGGUCAUUGGAAACUGGGAGACUUGAGUGCAGAAGAGGAAAGUGGAAUUCCAUGUGUAGCGGUGAAAUGCGUAGAGAUAUGGAGGAACACCAGUGGCGAAGGCGCUUUCUGGUCUGUAACUGACACUGAGGCGCGAAAGCGUGGGGAGCAAACAGG